AAAAUGAAACUGCGAAAGGCUCAUUAAAUCAGCUAUAAUUUAUUUGACAAGACAGUUACUUGGAUAACUGUGGUAAUUCUAGAGCUAAUACAUGCAAUUAUGCCCAACCCUCACGGGACGGGUGCACUUAUUAGAUCAAAACCAACCGGCUUUCGGGUCGUGGUUUGAUGACUCUGGAUAAUUUUACCGAUCGCACGGCCUUAGUGUCGGCGACAUGUCAUAUAAAUGUCUGCCCUAUCAACUAAAGAUGGUAAGCAACUUGCUUAUUAUGGUAAUAACGGGUAACGGGGAAUCAGGGUUCGAUUCCGGAGAGGGAGCCUGAGAAAUAGCUACCACAUCCAAGGAAGGCAGCAGGCGCGCAAAUUACCCACUCUCAAAACGAGGAGGUAGUGACAAAAAAUAACGAUGCGGGACUCAAUCGAGGCCCCGUAAUCGGAAUGAGUACACUUUAAAUCCUUUAACAAGGAUCAAUUGGAGGGCAAGUCUGGUGCCAGCAGCCGCGGUAAUUCCAGCUCCAAUAGCAUAUAU
rnacentral:rRNA from 1 species